CUCCUACACUGAAACAAGUACAGCCAAGUUACGAUCGGGAAAAACAUUCUGCAAUUGCAUUACCCAUGCUCUUAUUGGGAAAAAAAAAACCAUAAAUAAAAAAUCGUUAGAAACAUGGUAAAAAAAAUUAUUUAAACGAAACUAGAAUUCACACGAGCCUAUGGCAAAAAACUAUUAAACCUUUCCAUCAAAAGAAAUGCAAGAAGGAGGGCUCAAGCUUGUAUACUCAUUUUAUCUGCUUCUUUCUCUCUCCGUAAUACGGAUUUUUCAUCAUCCUGCACAACAAAAUUUCAUAUGUCAAAGACACUGUGUAUAACAUAUAAAUUUGAACACUAUCUCAUCGAGCACAAAUAUUUUUCGUCGGCUCGAUUAGCCAAAAAGAUAGAACACAUAAGAGAAAUCCCAUCCACUUGAUCCUCAAAUUUCAAACCAUCGAUUCAAAAUAUUGAUCAAAAUUGCACAAUAAUAUAUGCAUAUGUUCUUCAACAAACUAACAAAUCAUCAUCAUCAUCACUCUACAUUAAAAAAAAAAAACACAUAAUCCAGACAUGACUAUAUGUUACUAUAUAUGACUAAGACAUGACUAUAUGUUACUAUAUAUGACUAUAGUAACAUGUAGUAACAUUACUAUAUAUGACUAUAGUCAUCCAUAGUGUCCUAUAGUCUGAAUGAAUUUCACUUCAUAGCACAAUUUUCUCCAUAAUUCCUUACUGUAUAGAAGUAGCAAAAACAACAAUCCAUGUGACAAAAAAAUACGAGUUAGAGAAAAAGAACAUAAAAAUGGAAAAUGCAAUUAUGCACAUUUGAGAGUUGACUUUUAAGGACAUAAUAACCAUUAGACACUUCAACCAAUAACAGAGAAAACCACAUCAUUUGCAUCUUCAAACUCCAAACCUACAUUGAGUGUCUCUAUUUUGUUUGGAAGCAAAGAAACACAAUAAGAUCGGACUUCUGAUUCCCACAUUACACUUAAAAAUAGUGUUCUCAACAAAAUAAAAAAUAAAAUCCUAGAUCUAGUGUAUUUCACCAACAAUCAACCAUAAAUAAACAUGUAUGAUGCUUAAUAUAUACACACAUACACACGUUUUAAUGCGUGUAAUAUGUAAGUAGAGAAGAACUGUAAGAGAGUGUACCAGAGAAGGGUGAUUUAAGAUCACUGAAAUCGAUGUCGAGAAUAAAAAAAAAAGUAUUUGAAAUCGGAUCAAUAGUUUCUCAGUAGCGGCGGCGAUUGGAGGGGUCCAAGGCGAACGGAUCCGCCGGAGAAGAACGGAUCUAUGAGGUUUGAACAUGUCCGACGCCAUUGAUACGACACCGUUCUUCAUCUUCUCCGUCGAAUCGAAGAGCGGCGCUUGCGAAAUCAUGCGGAUUUGCGAAGGGUGGAUCG
rnacentral:lncRNA from 1 species